rnacentral:rRNA from 1 species
AGUCAUAUGCUUGUCUCAAAGAUUAAGCCAUGCAUGUCUCCGUACAAGCUUAAUUAAAGUGAAACCGCGAAAGGCUCAUUAAAUCAGUUAUGGUUCAUUAGAUUGUACCAAGUUACUCGGAUAACUGUGGUAAUUCUAGAGCUAAUACGUGCAAAUAGAAUCCCGACCGGAAACGGAAAGGAUGCUUUUAUUAGCCUAAAACCAAUCGGCGGCGGGCGUCUUCGGGCGCUCGUUCGUCGUUUAGUAUGACGAAUCUAAAUAACUCUAUGCUGAUCGCACGGUUUAAUACCGGCGACGCAUCUUUCAAAUGUCUGACUCAUCAACUGUCGAUGGUAGGUUAUGUGCCUACCAUGGUUGUGACGGGUAACGGGGAAUCAGGGUUCGAUUCCGGAGAGGGAGCCUGAGAAACGGCUACCACAUCCAAGGAAGGCAGCAGGCGCGCAAAUUACCCACUCCCGGCACGGGGAGGUAGUGACGAAAAAUAACGAUACGGGACUCAUCCGAGGCCCCGUAAUCGGAAUGAGUACACUUUAAAUCCUUUAACGAGGAUCAAUUGGAGGGCAAGUCUGGUGCCAGCAGCCGCGGUAAUUCCAGCUCCAAUAGCGUAU